rnacentral:lncRNA from 1 species
AUAUGAGUCUGCAUUUGCCAAAGGUGCCUUAGAAGAAAGGGAAAGAACUGGAACAGGUCAGCAAGUCCCAUGCUAAUGGGACUCAUGUCAAGCUGGGUCAAGUUGGGGUGUAGAUCUCUCAUUGAGAGCUAAAGCAUGGCGCUAAAAUAAGGGAAAGCAGAGACAUAGAAAACAAUCAAAUCUGAAGAAACCAGAGGAUGGAGAUGGAGGCUGUAGAACAAGGUGGGAAUGGAAGCUGGUGGAGAACAAUAAGGUCCUGCUGAGGAUCCCUGGUGCCCAGUAGGGAACACCGUGAGGAGGAGGAUUAAGAAAGGCACCCUUUCCACUGAUUUGCAUCGCCAUUUGUACAUGGAGUUUGGCUACAGCAAAAUCCGUUGCUAUCUCACCAGCUACAAGAAGCAAAGAACGAAUUGCAAUUCAUUUUUGUGCUCUAGGACCCGGUUGAGGGAUUUGGAAACUGCUCAGGAAAACAACUGGAUUCCUAAUAAUCCCUGAACAAUUCUUUUUUUUUUUCUUUUCCUGUGGACAUUAGCCUUUUAAUUUUUCCACAAGGAAUUCUGGGCCAAUUUAACUAAUAAAUAAUAACAGAAUUUUCUAAGUGCAUGGUACUUUUGCUUUAUCUGAUUUCAUGGCUUUCCUGUUCCAUGACAACCCACUGUCUUUUCCCUCACAUGUAUGUUUUAUGAUGGUUUUUUCAGGCAUUUGAAAAAGCUUUAACA